rnacentral:rRNA from 1 species
UACGUAGGGGCGAGCGUUGUCCGGAAUGACUGGGCGUAAAGGGCGCGUAGGCGGUUCUUUAAGUUAGGAGUGAAAGUCCAGCUUUUAAGGUUUGGAAUUGCUUUUAAUACUGGAGGGCUUGAGUGCAGAAGAGGUAAGUGGAAUUCCCAGUGUAGCGGUGAAAUGCGUAGAGAUUGGGAAGAACACCAGUGGCGAAGGCGACUUACUGGGCUGUAACUGACGCUGAGGCGCGAAAGCGUGGGGAGCGAACAGGAUUAGAUACCCCUGUAGUCCCUGAGCGGGCU